rnacentral:rRNA from 1 species
UGCAAGUCGAACGGCAGCACGGGGGGAACCUGGUGGCGAGUGGCGAACGGGUGAGUAAAGCAUCGGAACGUGCCUGGAGUGGGGGAUAACGUAGCGAAAGUUACGCUAAUACCGCAUAUUCUGUGAGCAGGAAAGCAGGGGAUCGCAAGACCUUGCGCUCUGGGAGCGGCCGAUGUCGGAUUAGCUAGUUGGUGGGGUAAAGGCCUACCAAGGCGACGAUCCGUAGCGGGUCUGAGAGGAUGAUCCGCCACACUGGGACUGAGACACGGCCCAGACUCCUACGGGAGGCAGCAGUGGGGAAUUUUGGACAAUGGGGCGAAAGCCUGAUCCAGCCAUGCCGCGUGAGUGAAGAAGGCCUUCGGGUUGUAAAGCUCUUUCGGUGGGGAAGAAAUUGCAUGGGCUAAUACCCUGUGUAGAUGACGGUACCUGGAGAAGAAGCACCGGCUAACUACGUG